rnacentral:misc_RNA from 1 species
UUAUGUUAUUACUGUAGAGCUCCCUAUCAUAAUAAUAAACUUAAUUAUUCAUUUAAGAAAAGGUUCAACAUGAAAUAAGAUGUGUCAACUGUUAACUAACAAGUUAACUAACAAGACUAUAGAAUAUCAACAAAUGGCCAAGCAAUGUUUAAGAAAUUUAUAAUUAGAUGAAGCAAAUCCUUUGUCUGUUCACAGUGGUGAAACUAUGUUCUACAAAAAGCUUCUCUGGGACAUGAUUUAUGCAUUAUGAUGUCCAUAAUUGUGCAUUAUGCCGUUAUCUUAAGGAAAUAAAAAAAUCACAAUAGGUCAAUGUAAUCUAGUUCUAAGAUGUUUAUUAAUGCCAUUAUCUAUACCAACCAACAAAGGUUAUGUGUCCAAUUUUCAAUUUCAAUCACAACAGUUGCCACUGAGAACAUUUUAAGUUCAAUGAGGGGGUUGCAAACCAAAGAUAUUCCAUACCAGAAAAUCAUAUUCUCAUAGAACAUUUUAACCCCAUGAACUUGGCAAGGACAAUAGGAUUUUAACACACUACAAGGUCUUUACCAUUAUAUAUCAUCUCUCUAAGUGAAGAUGCCAUUCAACUCAUGACUUUGAACUGGAGAUGGAAAUUUUUACAAAGACAAAGUAAAUCACUACUUCCUGCAGAACUCUGCAACUGUUCUUUCAUGCAACCAAAAGCCAACUAGAAAUAUACUAGAUGUGGGUUAGAUCCGUGCACAACAACAUGAUCAGAUGUUUUAAUUCUUUCACAGCUCAUUGGUCUGUGCAUGGACUCCACUUUUUCAUUUUAAAAACUGUGGAUGAAAAUCGCCAAGAUCUGCAUUUAGGGCCAGCCAUUGUCCUGUUCCAGUUCUAGGACCAGGGGGCAGGAACUGGACUGAAG